GGGGGCGUGGCGGAAUCGGUAGACGCGAUGGACUCAAAAUCCAUUGGUAGCGAUACUGUGAGGGUUCGAGUCCCUCCGCCCCUA
rnacentral:tRNA from 1 species